rnacentral:lncRNA from 1 species
CAGAGACUUAUAACUGGUCAAAGGGCUAAGCAUGAAUUACAGCUGAGUGCUUUGGCCUAAAUGGAACAUCUACGCUAUCCACUUCAAGAUUUGGAAACACUUUCUAACACGGUGGGGCAAAGAAUCUAAGAGCUGGAGGAUGAGAGGAAUACUGUGACAUGCUGCCUCCUGGACAUGAUGGGUGCUGCAUUCAUUAACUCACAGCACCUGUGGUUACCUGACCAAGACUCGCACAAAACAGGAUCCAUCAGCAUACCACCACAGUUCAGGGAGGCACUCCUGAGGCAUUACCUCUCUCUGAGGUGCUCUUGGCAGUCAGUUGAUUGUUGUUGGGGAAGGAAAGUCAUGCCCUUCACUGAUGCUGCCCCAGGCUACAAUCCAAUGGAGGGAUGAGCAGAUGAUAGACCAUGUUAUUAACAACGUAAAGUCGGUGAGAGGAGAAGCAGUAUCGAAGAUCGAACACCUUUCACCUUAACCACAUUCCUUUUUUAAAAUUGCUCUUGAUGUUCUCAGAUGGAAAACGACUCACAGUUCCCUUCCCCCCUCUUUCUGUGUUUGUGGACUUCCCUCUUGAAAGGCAAACAGAAAGGAAUUCUAUGGCAGUGGAGUUUGCUCGGGGAACGGAGUUCAUCCAUCUGGACUCUCAACUCAGGACUGAGAAGUCACUUCUGAAAAUAGAGCUCUGAGAAGAGCUGUUUCCCAGGUUGCCUGCGCAUUAAGUCCGGGACUCCAGAAACCUGUCGUUACCAGGGCCCAUAUGGGCAACCAAUUCAAAGGACGAUACUGCUGCUUUGAUCACAUGCCUUUCUGCUUUUCAGGUGGUGACAUGUCCGGCUAGACCAUGAUAGUCUGCUCACGAAAACCUUAGAGGGCCUUGCUCCUUUCACUGGCUACCACUUCCAUUUGGCCAUAAUAAGCAUGGGCAUGCCUCAAGCUGGAGACAUGACGCCUAAGUGAACCGUUGUCAGAUGCUUAUUCUCUGACACCAUAUGCAACUCUUUCCAGAGCCUAGCCAUUGCAUCCAGGUCCCUACAAACUGUUCUACACAUUGCAAUCAUAUGCUGGGUAAAAAUAUCAAAACGUCUCCAAGUCAGACCUGACUCCUUUCCUCCAGUUAUCUGUGCUCCCAUGUAUAAAUUUUGUAGAUGCAUCUGUUUCGAAUUACAUAAAUGCAUUCCAAAAAAGUAACUUAUAGCAGAAAAAAACAGUUAUGCAUUCCAUAUUCUCACAGCUUGAAAAAUGGCUAAACUGAUUCUCUCGAAUAAAUGCUCUGGGGAUAAAAAUCAAAAGAACAACUCCAAAGCAAUAUUGUGAGAAUUUCUGCCAGCAUCAGGGAAGACAGAGCACAGAAAUACUCAUGUAUGUAACACGUAUAUUCAUAGACUGCUGUUUACCCUGAGACAGGGAGACACUGAAGAGCUAUCCAAAUGAUCUGACAAGGCUGAUGCUUUUUAUUUCACUCUUGAAAUGCUUCCAUGUUAGUGUUUUCAUUGAAGUUCUGCCGUGUUUAAUAUUCUCACACUCAGUUCAAAGACAAUAUGGGAGAUGGGAGGGUACCCGUGCUCCACAGAACGAGGCUCUAUGUGGCACUGGCAUCAACCACUCCUGGAGGACUCACAUCACACUGUCAAAAGGGCAAAGCCAUGGCAGACACAGAGAGAUGGGUUUCUGUCUAAAUACCCUUUCUCAGCUCCUUCCAUAGGAAAAUAUGAGUCAAGGCUAGAAGCUCAUACCCUUUCCUCAUGCUGCAUACACAGCAGAUGCAGAAAGAUAAUUUUAGUCAGAAAUAAGCAGGGGUAAAUCUUGGAAACAGGUCUGAGGGCAAGAAAAAAAUGCUUGAUGAAUCUGACCUAGGGUCACUGUGUGCCUUAGGGAUCAAAAUCCCUGACAAUUUUCCAAUGCAGAAACUAAAUCUCAAGAUACAAAUCUAUUUUCAUUCCCAUUUUGUAAUAUUUCCUGUCCUAGGCUAGCACCAGCUCUGGG